CUUUAUUCCACAAGUUGUGCUGAGGAGCUGGAUUUUAAACUGUUCCCAGUCUGGGGCAGAGGCUUUUCUUCAUAACUAGGGACAAGAGGAUAACUAGGAACCAGAGGAUUUUUCUUCUUGCUCUCCAAACCUUCAAGUUUCUAGGAAUCCCACAGUCAGAGAAGAAGAGGAAGUGAGAAGAUGAGAGGGAAAACAACAUGGUGGCACUGAGGCAGUGGAAACAAGGAGGGGGAAGAGGAGCUUCGAGUGUUGGAGCUGAGAAUCCUCUGCAGGCCGUGCUGCCCAGCUCUCUGUAACAAGAGAAGUGAAUGACUUUUGUGGGUGCCUGGUGUUUGGCCAGUGUUCAACCACAACAGAGUGAAAGACAUCCAAGACCCAAGGAACUCUAGACCCUGACAACACAGGCAUGCAGACCACUUAGAAGGAUUGAUCUUAU